rnacentral:rRNA from 1 species
AUUGAACGCUGGCGGCAGGCCUAACACAUGCAAGUCGAGCGGAGCGGCGGACGGGUGAGUAAUGCCUAGGAAUCUGCCUGGUAGUGGGGGAUAACGUCGGGAAACGGGCGCUAAUACCGCAUAUUAACAGAUGAACUUAGUUGGGAUUAGCUGGUUGGUGGGUUAAGGGCCUACUAAGGCGACUAUCCGUAACUGGCCUGAGAGGAUGAUCAGUCACGCUGGAGCUGAGCCAGGGUCCAGCCUCCUAGGGGAGGAAGCAGUGGGGAAUAUGGGACAAGGGGCGAAAGCCUGAUCAAGCCCUGCCGCGUGUGGGAAGAAGGUCUUCGGAUUGUAAAGCACGUUAAGUUGGGAGGCGUUACCUACCGAAUGAGCAACGGCUAACUUCGUGCCAGCAGCCGCGGUAAUUC